rnacentral:rRNA from 1 species
CAAUAGCGUAUAUUAACGUUGUUGCAGUUAAAAAGCUCGUAGUUGGAUUUCUGGAGGGAGCGUCGGCCCGUAUUUACGAGUGCGUGACGUCUCUGUCCAUCCUUGCGGGAAGGCACGGCAUUGAUUUGUUGUGUCGGAUCGCAUCAUUUACUGUGAAAAAAUUAGAGUGUUCAAAGCAGGCUUUCGCUUGAAUACAUUAGCAUGGAAUAAUAAGAUAGGACUUUGGUGCUAUUUUGUUGGUUGAGCCUAAAGUAAUGAUUAAUAGGGAUAGUUGGGGGCACCUGUAUUGCGUUGUCAGAGGUGAAAUUCUUGGAUUUACGCAAGACAAACAGCUGCGAANGNGUCUGCNAAGGUUGUUUNCAUUA